CCUACGGGUGGCAGCAGUGGGGAAUAUUGGGCAAUGGGCGCAAGCCUGACCCAGCAACGCCGCGUGAAGGAAGAAGGCUUUCGGGUUGUAAACUUCUUUUAUGAGGGACGAAGGAAGUGACGGUACCUCAUGAAUAAGCCCCGGCUAACUACGUGCCAGCAGCCGCGGUAAUACGUAGGGGGCAAGCGUUAUACGGAUUUACUGGGUGUAAAGGGAGCGUAGACGGUGCGCCAAGUCUGGAGGGAAAUGCCGCAGCUUAACUGCGGAACUGCUUUGGAAACUGGCGAACUAGAGUGCGGGAGGGGUAAGCGGAAUUCCUAGUGUAGCGGUGAAAUGCGUAGAUAUUAGGAGGAACACCGGGGGCGAAGGCGGCUUACUGGACCGUAACUGACGUUGAGGCUCGAAAGCGUUGGGAGCAAACAGGAUUAGAUACCCCAGUAGUC
rnacentral:rRNA from 1 species